rnacentral:rRNA from 1 species
AGCGGUACGCGAGCUGGGUUCAGAACGUCGUGGGACAGUUCGGUCCCUAUCCGUCGCGGGCGCAGGAAAUUUGAGAGGAGCUGUCCUUAGUACGAGAGGACCGGGAUGGACGCACCGCUGGUGUACCAGUUGUUCUGCCAAGGGCAUCGCUGGGUAGCUAUGUGCGGACGGGAUAAGUGCUGAAAGCAUCUAAGCAUGAAGCCCCCCUCAAGAUGAGAUUUCCCAUUCCGCAAGGAAGUAAGAUCCCUGAAAGAUGAUCAGGUUGAUAGGUCUGAGGUGGAAGCGUGGUGACACGUGGAGCUGACAGAUACUAAUAGAUCGAGGACUUAACCUU